rnacentral:misc_RNA from 1 species
AAAAGGAUAGGUCCAGAGACUCAACGGAAGCUGUUCUAACAAAUGGGGCCACAAGUAGAGGAAUCUUUACAUCAAAAAAAACGUCAUAAAAGAUGGCAAGGAUAAACCUAUCUAUUGAAUACUAUAUCAAAUGAUUACUCGUAUCCAGUAGAUGUAUUUUUUUCCAUUAUUUUUCUUUUUUAAUAUGAAAAAUAGAAGAAUUGGUGUGAAUUCCUUCGACAUUGCAGAAAAAACCUAAUUUUGAUGAAUCAAAUCAUUCACUCCAUAGUUCGAUAAACAUUUUAAAGAAAUGAUCAAUCGGACAAGAAUAAAGAUAGAGUCCCCUUCUACAUGUCAAUACUGGCAACAAUGAAAUUUAUAGUAAGAGGAAAAUCCGUUGACUUUAAAAAUCGUGAGGGUUCAAGUCCCUCUAUCCCCAGCCUAUUUCACUCCCAAAAUAGUUAUCCUACUCUCUCCUUGUUCAGUUACAAAUUUUCUGAUUCUUUUACAAAUGUAGGUGGGCAUAAAUGAGUUUAUCUUCUACAGAAUACACAUCCAAAUUUAGCAAAGAAUCCUGAUUAAACUAAUUCACAGAAAUAGAAAGUGAUCCUUUUUAAGAUCAAAGAAAUUGAAGUACUUGACGAAAAAUGGAAAAUUUCACCUUUCCCUUUAAUUGACAUAGACCACAGUCGUCGACUAAAAUACAAAAAGGAGUAUGGGUUACUACGCAAGGAAUGG